UUCAACUACUAGGGGUGUCCGUCAAGCGGGCUGAGAGGAAAGCGAUACUUUCCGACUCUUGGGACCUGAUCUGGGUUAUACCAGCGUGGGGAAGUAGUCAACAUACCAU
rnacentral:ncRNA from 2 species